rnacentral:rRNA from 1 species
AGUGAACGCUGGCGGUAGGCCUAACACAUGCAAGUCGAACGGCAGCACAGUAAGAGCUUGCUCUUACGGGUGGCGAGUGGCGGACGGGUGAGGAAUACAUCGGAAUCUACUUUUUCGUGGGGGAUAACGUAGGGAAACUUACGCUAAUACCGCAUACGACCUACGGGUGAAAGCAGGGGAUAUUCGGACCUUGCGCGAUUGAAUGAGCCGAUGUCGGAUUAGCUAGUUGGCGGGGUAAAGGCCCACCAAGGCGACGAUCCGUAGCUGGUCUGAGAGGAUGAUCAGCCACACUGGAACUGAGACACGGUCCAGACUCCUACGGGAGGCAGCAGUGGGGAAUAUUGGACAAUGGGCGCAAGCCUGAUCCAGCCAUACCGCGUGGGUGAAGAAGGCCUUCGGGUUGUAAAGCCCUUUUGUUGGGAAAGAAAAGCAGCAGGUUAAUACCCCGCUGUUCUGACGGUACCCAAAGAAUAAGCAUCGGCUAACUUCGUG